AAACUAUUGUUCCUGUUUCACACAGAAGAAAACUGAGGUUGGCACUCAUGAUGAGCCCCUGUUCUCAUUCUGCAAAUGGUGAAGCUCUCUAUUGUCCUGACCCCACAGUUCCUGUCCCAUGAGCAGGGCCAGCUCACCAAGGAGCUGCAGCAGCACGUAAAGUCAGUGACAUGCCCAUGCGAGUACCUGAGGAAG
rnacentral:sRNA from 1 species